CCAAAAAAAAAAAAAGAUAAAAAAAGAAAGAAGAAGAGGGCAAAGACAGUGCAGUGGCGAGAAGGACUGAAGGAGGCUGAAGGCAAAGAGAAAGAACUAAAAGAAGAAAAAGAAGAAGAAUGCAAAGCCCAAGUCCUCAACGGAGGCAGAGAGAGUGAGAGAGAGAGAGAGAGAGUCACCUGUGUAAGUCUGUAAGAAAGAUUUUUUUUCUGUUCUGCAAGACUGCUGCAACUGUGUGGCCGUGUGGGAGAGACAAAGUUUCAGACUUUUCAAUAUUUUUGCUGUGUACAAGCUAGCUCCAGUGAAAACAGAUUGUACUGAAAAGAAACCCAAAGCUGCUUCCAACAACAACAAAAAAAAUCAGGCACGUGAAAGAGGAAGUAUCUGCUGAGGUGGUUCAAUCACUAUGGAGUCAUGUAAUUGCAUUGAGCCGAAAUGGCCGGCUGAUGAAUUGUUGAUGAAGUACCAAUAUAUUUCAGAUUUCUUCAUUGCACUUGCUUAUUUCUCUAUCGCUCUAAAACUGAUCUACUUUGUCAAGAAAUCGGCAGUGUUUCCAUAUAGAUGGCCGGCCCUUGUUCAGUUUGGUGCUUUCAUAGUGUUGUGUGGGGCAACGCACCUCAUUAAUUUAUUGACUUAUACCAUGCAUUCGAAAACUGUGGCGAUAGUAAUGACCACUGCAAAGGUUUUGACUGCUGUGGUUUCAUGUGCAACUGCCCUCAUGCUUGUGCGUAUUAUUCCUGAUUAAACCAGAGAACUGUUCUUGAAAAACAAGGCUGCAGAGCUUGAUAGAGAAAUGGGCUUGAUUCGUACACAAGAAGAAACAGGCCGUCAUGUGGUUCACCCAUGAGAUCAGAAGCACCCUGGAUAGGCAUACUAUACUGAAAACCACUCUUGUUGAACUGGGUAGAACUUUGAUGUAUGCAUGCGCUAUACAUUUUCAGAUGGGAAAACAUAUCAGCUAUGAAUAUCUUAUGUGAUGUUUUCAUAUAAUGGUAAAGAAGCUGAGUCCUAGACAUCCUGAAUGACCCUUGAUGCUAGAUGUGUGAAUGGAACUAAGAAUUGCUUUUGAAA